GACGAACGCUGGCGGCGUGCUUAACACAUGCAAGUCGAACGGACAGGCCCUGCGUUUGUGGGGUGCUCGAGUGGCGAACGGGUGAGUAACACGUGAGUAACCUGCCCUUGUCUGUGGGAUAACUUCAGGGAACUCGGGCUCAUACCGGAGAGAAGAUACUGCUGCAUGGGGGGCGUUGGAAAGAUUCGGCGGUUGGGGAUGGACUCGCGGCUUAUCAGCUUGUUGGUGGGGUAGGCGCUUACCAAGCCUUUGACGGGUAGCCGGCCUGAGAGGGUGACCGGCCACCUUGGGACUGCGGUACGGACCAGACUCCUACGGGACGCAGCAGUGGGGAAUAUUGCGCAAUGGGCCGAAGCCUGAUGCAGCGACGCUCCGUGCGGGAUGACGUCCUUCGGGUUGUAAACCGCUGUCGACUGAGCCGAAGCGGGAGUGACGGUAAUGGGUAAAGAAGCACCGGCUAACUACGUG
rnacentral:rRNA from 1 species